CGGGCAGUGACGAUCCAAACUGGGGGUGGGCUGUUCAUUUUCGUGGGUGCGUUCUGAUGGCAGCUUUUGGGUCUCUGUAGCAACUCCGAGACCGAAGAGAGCAAGCGUGUGAUCAUAAGUGCAUCCCCUUUGCUUUGGCACGGCAUCUAUUUCGAUAUCAUAUUAAUAAUGUUUUUGUCUUGAGGAUGAUGAUGGAUAACGGCACGCUUCACCCUCGUGUCGGAUCCGUUAUCGUACACCAUCAUGUAGAGCAACUGUGCAGCAUGAUGGAUACGAGCACACAUCAUCAACUUAACCAUUUAUGACCUGGCGGCGAG
rnacentral:lncRNA from 1 species